rnacentral:rRNA from 2 species
GCCCCCCUCAAGAUGAGAUUUCCCAACUAGUAAGACCCCUUGAAGACGACGAGGUAGAUAGGUUGGAGGUGGAAGUGCAGCAAUGCAUGGAGCUGACCAAUACUAAUCGGUCGAGGGCUUAUCCAAA